GGAUUGUGGCUCAGUGGUAAAGCACUUGCCUACCAUGCAUGAGGCACUGAGUUCAAUCCUCAGCACCA
rnacentral:tRNA from 1 species